CAAUCUUCUCUUCCUUUCCUUUCUCCCUCUUCUCUCCUUUCUCUUUCCUCCUCAGCGGCGGAACUCUUUUUUACAAUCUUCUUCUUCUUCAUUCACUGAAUCACUGUCCAAUUUAAUAACAAUAAGAUUCAAGAAUCCACUGAUGAUAACAAAGAAGAAAAUCUUAGAUCAUUUUCUUAAUCUACAGUAAAUCACGACGACAAAGAUGAGAAAACAAAUCGAAAGUGUUGCUGAUGCGGUAUUCUUUGCUGAAGAUGGUUACUCAAUUGUUGUUUUAAGGUUACAUAUUAGGGGGGUUUGUUCUGUUGGAUUUAGGGUUACAGAUUAGGGGUUUGUUUUGUUAGAUUUAGGGUUACAGAUUAAUGGUUUCUCUAUGGUGAAAACGGGGACUACUUUGGUUUGUAUGAUUUUGUAGGUGAUGCCCAAGUUCUUGAAAGGUUUGGAAGCUCGGGAUCAAGGUUACUUGUUCUCAAGAGACUGAAUCACAUUAUUGAAAGCCUAGUAGUAUGACAGAAGAAAGCUGCUCAAGAAGCCACUAUAACCUCAGCUGCAGGAGAAAGUAUUAUUGAGCUUAAGGUCAAGACCUUGGGUUCACAGAUCUGAAAACUCCGUGUUGAAAAAAAAUAUGUUGAUGAGCUAAAAAUAUACAGAGAAAGAACUGGUAGACGCUAGGUGUAAACUUGUCCUUUGUUGAUGAGCUUAAAAGAAUUUCUGGUUGGUGUCCAAGCAUCGAAAAUGCAAAUGUGUAAUACCAAAGGUAGAAGGUUACGCAGUUGGUGGAGUACAAGUAUUGGUAUUGUAGAUGGUUAUUGAAUUAACAGUAGCUGCUGCAAUGUCAUUUUUAUCCAGACAGGCCCAUAGCUCACGAGUGUUUGCUUGAUCCUACACAUGGCAAAGGAUCAGAAGAUAGAUGAUGGUGGUCUUUGGAGCAGUUGCAGUGUAAAAUGUAUGUGUGGAAUAUGUAUGAAGAGGUUGGAGAACUUUAUCCAUGUUUUGAAGUUAUGGUGAGGUUAGGGAUUGUAGAUGUGAUAUGUAUGAAUUGCGGAUUGAAAGAGAAUAGAUUGCAGUUGUGUUUCAGGUUUAAUUGUACUGCAUGUUUGUAAACUAGAAAAUACAGGUGCAUGAUGGUAGAAUCUGUGUAGUUUGUGGUUUAUUUGUAGUUCAGGCCUGUAAACUGAGAGUGCAGGUCCAUCAUCGUGACCUGUAUCGCAGGCCUGUAAACUGGAAGCCCGGAUCCAUGAAAAUCUGGGCUACCCAUUUUUUUUUAA